UCUACUGACUUCUGAAGUUUUAAAUCAGAGCAGAUAUGAAAGAGAAGAGUUAUUUUUAAAUGAUCCUUUUAUUCUUUUUCCUUUUUCAUUGUAAGGGGAGCAUCUACUUGUUCCAUUUUCACUUUUUCUUCUCUCUUGUUUUCAGAAGCCCUGUAAAUGAAGAAUAUCAAGAUAGUGUCAUGCACUCUGAUGGAACUGGAAAUCUGGAUGAGGAACAAGAGAGUGAAGGAGAAACAUAUGAAGACAUAGAAACAUCCAAAGAAAGAGAGAA